ACCCUCAAACCCAAAGAUUUUGGCGGUCUUUAAAUCAAAUAAAAGGGACUUGCCGUAUAAACGAUGACACACGAAAAAUCUUACUCAAUUUAAACAAUUGUCUGUAUACCACCAUCUAAAAAAUAUCUCUAAUAUUUUUCUAAAAAAUAUAUCUUUUAUGUUAGGUCAAGGUGCAACUUAUAACUGAGAAAUUGUUAGUCACAAUUUUACUAAAAAAUAGAUAGCCACUGAAAAUAUAAUUAAAAGAGAAUUUUAAAGUAAUUAAAUUUUAAUAAGAUAUAAUGACUACUGACCUUAAAGAUGCACAUAUCGCCCGUCGCUCGCGGGAA
rnacentral:rRNA from 1 species